CCAAUAGCGUAUAUUAAAGUUGUUGCAGUUAAAAAGCUCGUAGUUGAAUUUCGAGAUCAAAUUGUUGGUCGUGCCUCGGUACGUACUGGCAUUAUUGAUUUCUCCUUUCUGAAGAACCAUGAUGUCAUUAAUUUGGUGUCUUGGGGAAUCAGGACUGUUACUUUGAAAAAAUUAGAGUGUUUAAAGCAGGCUCACGCUUGAAUACAUUAGCAUGGAACAAUGAAAUAGGACGUUUGAUUCUAUUUUGUUGGUUUCUAGGAUCGACGUAAUGAUUAAUAGGGAUAGUUGGGGGCAUUAGUAUUCAAUUGUCAGAGGUGAAAUUCUUGGAUUUAUUGAAGACUAACUACUGCGAAAGCAUUUGCCAAGGAUGUUUUCAUUAAUCAAGAACAAAAGUUAGGGGAUCGAAGACGAUCAGAUACCGUCGUAGUCUUAACCAUAAACUAUGCCGACUAGGGAUCGGAUGAUGUUAAUUUUUUAAUGACUCAUUCGGCGCCUUACG
rnacentral:rRNA from 1 species